GGCCUUGAUGUUUAGGCUUUGGGGUGUAUUUUUGCAUGUGUUUGUUUUUUUAAAAAGCUGUUUGGGCUUUCUAAGUAGCCCCCAGUUAAGGAACUACUACUAAUCUCCAGAAGUUUCCAGCUGCAGUAGCGUGCAAGGUGGGAAAUGGCAGGGAAAUAAGUACUUCAGGAACAUGCGUGCUGAGAGCAGCCCUUGUUUGGAUCAUGGUUGCCCUCGCUGGGAAUCGUUCCAACCCAAAUGAUAACACAGGUGGCUGGCAAGGCUUGAAUGGUAUCUGCAAGUGAAGGUCAUCUCAUCCAUCAAUAGGUACCUGAUACCUGCUGGGCCUCAGAAUGAUCUUACACAAUCCGGUUUCCUGCUCCAGUGGUGCUUUUGAGUCUCAGAGGCUUCUACCUGCCGAACUCCACACCGCCAGCCUUGCGUGGUCUGUCCCCACUGCAGACUGUCUGCAUCUUGUUGUGUACGUGACCCAGCAAAACCCGGGUCCAGCUCGGAGUCAGUGUACAAUAAAAU